rnacentral:rRNA from 1 species
AUUGAACGCUGGCGGCAGGCCUAACACAUGCAAGUCGAGCGAGCGGCGGACGGGUGAGUAAUGUAUGGGGACUGCCCGAUAGAGGGGGCUAACUACUGGAAACGGUGGCUAAUACCGCAUACUAUCGGAUAACCCAUAUGGGAUUAGCUAGUAGGUGGGGUAAAGGCUCACCUAGGCGACGAUCUCUAGCUGGUCUGAGAGGAUGAUCAGCCAAACUGAGACUGAGACACGGCCCAACCGCCUAGGGAGGCAGCAGUGGGGAAUAGUGAACAAUGGGCGAAAGCCUGAUGCAGCCAUGCCGCGUGUAUGAGGAAGGCCUUAGGGUUGUAAAGUACUUUCAGCGGUGAGGCGUUACCCGCAGAAGAAGCACCGGCUAACUCCGUGCCAGCAGCCGCGGUAAUUC